rnacentral:rRNA from 1 species
GCAGUAGCCGCGGUAACACGAAGGGGGCUAGCGUUGUUCGGAUUUACUGGGCGUAAAGCGCACGUAGGCGGAUCGAUCAGUCAGGGGUGAAAUCCCAGAGCUCAACUCUGGAACUGCCUUUGAUACUGUCGAUCUGGAGUAUGGAAGAGGUGAGUGGAAUUCCGAGUGUAGAGGUGAAAUUCGUAGAUAUUCGGAGGAACACCAGUGGCGAAGGCGGCUCACUGGUCCAUUACUGACGCUGAGGUGCGAAAGCGUGGGGAGCAAACAGGAUUAGAUACCCCCGUAGUCCCUGUCUCUUAUAC